rnacentral:rRNA from 1 species
CAGUCGCCACGGUAAUACGGAGGGGGCUAGCGUUGUUCGGAAUUACUGGGCGUAAAGCGCACGUAGGCGGCUUGGUAAGUUAGAGGUGAAAGCCCGGAGCUCAACUCCGGAAUUGCCUUUAAGACUGCCGAGCUAGCAGGUGAGAGAGGUAAGUGGAAUUCCGAGUGUAGAGGUGAAAUUCGUAGAUAUUCGGAAGAACACCAGUGGCGAAGGCGGCUUACUGGCUCAUACUGGACGCUGAGGUGCGAAAGCGUGGGGAGCAAACAGGAUUAGAUACCCCUGUAGUCCCUGUCUCUUAUAA